rnacentral:lncRNA from 1 species
GUCCAAACGAGUAUGACAUUGUUGCCGCCCGUAGCAUUGAAGGCAAGGGAAGCCAGCGAACAUCUGGCCUCCCUUAACAAAAACAGUAUAACAAUUUGUCAAUUGGCAUUGAGCUAAAUUGAGCGAGCUCAACUGUGAAUGGUUCUGGCGCACCAAAAAAAAGUGUCAUGGGAAGACAACUUGGAUUAGGUCAUUGACAGAAAAACUUGAAUUGUUGCAUCUCGUUGUGUUGUUGUCCUCCGGUGGCUAGCUAGCUAAAAUUGGCCCUUUCCUAAAUUAGCCUUGUAUGAAGAUAGGGAUUUGGACUUGUCGGGUUUACUUAAUUCUCCACACUGACCAAUGAUUAUAAUGGCGAUUCUGAUCCAACCAUUAAUACAUUGUUGUGUCCUUGGCUUGAGAGGAUGGAAGUUCAAUAUGUAGCUAGAUGUAGAAGGCUAAUGUUAACUAGCUAACGUUGCCCAUAAAUGGAAGUUAGGCUAGCGAACAAGCAUGUUAGCCAGGUAGCCUAGGACAACAAAAAAUAAAAGCGUAUACAGUAUGACAGACUAACAGACCGUUUUGUCAACAUGACAGAGAGGAGGAUGGCAUUGGCGUUUCUCUACAAGCAGGAUAUUUAAAAGUCUGGUACGGCAACUUUACUGCCGGUGACCGCAAGGCUCUACAGAGGGUGGUACGCUUAGCCAAACGCACCAUUGGGUGCACACACUGCCUGCCCUCCAGGACACAGAGAACACCAGGUGUAGCAGGAAUGCCAAGAACAA